rnacentral:rRNA from 1 species
UACGAAGGGGGCGAGCGUUGCUCGGAUUUACUGGGCGUAAAGGGCGCGCAGGCGGCCGCUCAAGUCAGGCGUGAAAGCCCCGGGCUUAACCUGGGAACUGCGUCUGGGACUGAGUGGCUAGAGUUCGGGAGAGGAGAGUGGAAUUCCCAGUGUAGAGGUGAAAUUCGUAGAUAUUGGGAAGAACACCGGUGGCGAAGGCGGCUCUCUGGACCGAGACUGACGCUGAGGCGCGAAAGCGUGGGGAGCAAACAGG